UACGUAGGGGGCUAGCGUUGUCCGGAAUCAUUGGGCGUAAAGCGCGUGUAGGCGGCCCGGUAAGUCCGCUGUGAAAGUCGGGGGCUCAACCCUCGGAUGCCGGUGGAGUACUGUCGGGCUCGAGUACGGAAGAGGCGAGUGGAAUUCCUGGUGUAGCGGUGAAAUGCGCAGAUAUCAAGGAGGAACACCAAUUGCGAAGGCAGCUCGCUGGGACGUUACUGACGCUGAGACGCGAAAGCGUGGGGAGCAAACAGG
rnacentral:rRNA from 1 species